rnacentral:sRNA from 1 species
CCCUAGCCCUGAUGAAAGCAACAUCCUUUAUGUUUUUUCUUUAAAAACAUAAAGAUAUAGCGGACAGCAGGAAAUAGC